UAAAACACGAUGAGAAAGAAAGUAGAAACGAUCCCUUCCCCCAGAGAGUCUCGGCAGCUGAAAAGAGAUGGAAACGAAUGGUUUUGAAAAUGGCUUUUGAGUGGAUCUUCUGACUAAUUAAGAAGGUACGGGAUGUUCCGUUAAACAACAAGAGUCUCCCAAUCAAACAUGGGGUACUUGUCGAGGCAGCCGACUGUGAGGUCGCUGCAAAUCAAAGGUGGUAACGUAUAUCAACUAUGCCCUUAGA
rnacentral:ncRNA from 1 species